ACUCCUUCCUCCACUCUCUCACACCCCUCUCCUACCCCUUCCGCACGAGCUGAAGGUCCCCCAAGGCUCCAUGGCCGGCCAUGGCCAUGGGAGCACACCAAACCGCAGCUCUACUCCUCCCUCAAGCUUCCCCUCACCAUGAGAGCUUCCCUCUCACUCUCUUCUCUCCUAUCCAUAGAUGAAUCCAGCUCUAUUUCUCCUUUCUCCACUCACAAAAUUGGAUCUUGAUGCAGGUGCAUAUUUGUCCAAGCAUGGAGAAGGUUGAGCAAUCCUCAGAUCUGAAGUUCUUGAGCAAAAUCCAAAUCGAGUGAUUCAAAGUUCCAUAGAUAGGUAUUGAAAAGAUCUACAACUUGGCGUUGGUCUCAUCCUCAAAUUUGUUACGGAUUUGCCUUGAUCAAGAUCUGGUCACAUCUGUCUUUGUCGAAUUAAACCAGGAGCUUGGAGAAGAAUUUUUGAAUGAAACCAGCUGGGGGAUAUUUGGUUUAUACCAUGGUGAUAACCGAGAGAGGCAAUUGCUAAGUUGUGACGCACUCAUACCUUUACUAGAUGCGAACAGUUCCGGAGAAGAAGACGGAGUGGAAUCGGACGAGGAUUUUAUUUAUAUAUGUUGUUGGAAUUCUUAUAUUGAUGGAGUUGAGAAGUACAGGGACACAUAAGCCAAGGCAAGCCAUCUUUUGAUCUCUGAUUCGGUGUCUAGUUGGAUGUCAUUUGUUGAUAUCCAAAGCACCUCGAUUCUAUGUGUGUUGUUCUCCUUAUUGUUGUCAUCUAUGUAUUGGUUGCUAGUGGGG